UACGAAGGGGGCUAGCGUUGGCUCGGAAUCACUGGGCGUAAAGCGCACGUAGGCGGACUCUUAAGUCGGUGGUGAAAUCCUGGAGCUCAACUCCAGAACUGCCUUCGAUACUGGGAGUCUUGAGUCCGGGAGAGGUGAGUGGAACUGCGAGUGUAGAGGUGAAAUUCGUAGAUAUUCGCAAGAACACCAGUGGCGAAGGCGGCUCACUGGCCCGGUACUGACGCUGAGGUGCGAAAGCGUGGG
rnacentral:rRNA from 1 species